rnacentral:tRNA from 1 species
GCCAGUCGGGGCUGCUGGCGUUCGACUGCGACGUCACCUUCGGCGCGUCGGGUGCGCCGGUGUUCGACCUUGCGGACCGGCGC